GGGGAAUUGUUCGCAAUGGGCGCAAGCCUGACGACGCAACGCCGCGUGGAGGAUGAAGAUCUUCGGGUCGUAAACUCCUUUCGAUCGAGACGAAUGGCCUCCGGGUGAACAAUCCGGAGGAAUGACGGUACCGAGAGAAGAAGCCCCGGCUAACUCCGUGCCAGCAGCCGCGGUAAUACGGGGGGGGCAAGCGUUGUUCGGAAUUACUGGGCGUAAAGGGCCCGUAGGUGGCCAACUAAGUCAGACGUGAAAUCCCUCAGCUUAACUGGGGAACUGCGUCUGAUACUGGUUGGCUUGAGUGCAGGAGAGGAACGCGGAAUUCCAGGUGUAGCGGUGAAAUGCGUAGAUAUCUGGAGGAACACCGGUGGCGAAGGCGGCGUUCUGGACUGCAACUGACACUGAGGAACGAAAGCCAGGGGAGCAAA
rnacentral:rRNA from 1 species